AGUGAACGCUGGCGGUAGGCCUAACACAUGCAAGUCGAACGGCAGCACAGUAAGAGCUUGCUCUUACGGGUGGCGAGUGGCGGACGGGUGAGGAAUACAGCGGAAUCUACUUUUUCGUGGGGGAUAACGUAGGGAAACUUACGCUAAUACCUCAUACGACCUACGGGUGAAAGCAGGGGAUCUUCGGACCUUGCGCGAUUGAAUGAGCCGGUGUCGGAUUAGCUAGGUGGCGAGGGAAAGGCGCACCAAGGCGACGAUACAUAGCUGGUCUGAGAGGAUGAUCUGCCACACGGGGACGGAGACACGCCCCAAACUCCUACGCGAGGCAGCAGGAGGGAAUCUUCGGCAAUGGACGAAAGUCUGACCGAUCAACGCCGCGGGAGUGAAGAAGGUGUUCGGAUCGUAAAACUCUUUGGGUAGAGAAGAACGGUGGUGUAAGUGGAAAGCUCAUCAAGUGACGGUAACUACCCAGAAAGGGACGGCUAACUACGUG
rnacentral:rRNA from 1 species